rnacentral:rRNA from 1 species
AACGCUAGCUACAGGCUUAACACAUGCAAGUCGAGGGGUAGCACGGAGGAAGCUUGCUUCCUUGGGUGACGACCGGCGCACGGGUGAGUAACGCGUAUCCGACCUACCCAUAACACGGGCACAGCCGCUCGAAAGAGUGAUUGAUUCCCAAUAUGUUAUAUAAGUAGAUUAUAUAACGAAAGAUUUAUCGGUUAUGGAUGGGGAUGCGUAAGAUUAGGUAGUAGGCGGGGUAACGGCCCACCUAGCCGACGAUCUUUAGGGGUUCUGAGAGGAAGGUCCCCCACACUGGUACUGAGACACGGACCAGACUCCUACGGGAGGCAGCAGUGAGGAAUAUUGGUCAAUGGGCGGAAGCCUGAACCAGCCAAGUAGCGUGAAGGAUUACAGCCCUACGGGUUUUAAACUUCUUUUAUAUAAGAGUAAUGUGCACUACGUGUAGUGUAUUGCAAGUAUUAUAUGAAUAAGCAUCGGCUAACUCCGUGCCAGCAGCCGCGGUAAUACGGAGGAUGCGAGCGUUAUCCGGAUUUAUUGGGUUUAAAGGGAGCGUAGGCGGGAUAUUAAGUCAGUCGUCAAAGCCUGUGGCUCAACCACAGCCCGCGAUUGAUACUGGUAACCUUGAGUGCGGAUGAGGUGGAUGGAAUUCGUGGUGUAGCGGUGAAAUGCUUAGAUAUCACGAAGAACUCCGAUUG